CAUAUCAAUAAGCGGAGGAAAAGAAACUAACAAGGAUUCCCCUAGUAACUGCGAGUGAAGCGGGAAAAGCUCAAAUUUAAAAUCUGGCAGUCUCUGGCUGUCCGAGUUGUAAUCUAGAGAAGCGUUAUCCGCGCUGGACCGUGUACAAGUCUCCUGGAAUGGAGCGUCAUAGAGGGUGAGAAUCCCGUCUUUGACACGGACUGCCAGGGCUUUGUGAUGCGCUCUCAAAGAGUCGAGUUGUUUGGGAAUGCAGCUCAAAAUGGGUGGUAAAUUCCAUCUAAAGCUAAAUAUUGGCGAGAGACCGAUAGCGAACAAGUACCGUGAGGGAAAGAUGAAAAGAACUUUGGAAAGAGAGUUAAACAGUACGUGAAAUUGCUGAAAGGGAAACGCUUGAAGUCAGUCGCGUUGGCCAGGGAUCAACCUUGCUUUUGCUUGGUGUACUUUCUGGUUGACGGGUCAGCAUCAAUUUUGAUCAUUGGAAAAAGGUUGUAGGGAAUGUGGCAUCUUCGGAUGUGUUAUAGCCCUUCACUGCAUACAAUGGUUGGGAUUGAGGAACUCAGCACGCCGCAAGGCCGGGUUUUAACCACGUACGUGCUUAGGAUGCUGGCAUAAUGGCUUUAAUCGACCCGUCUUGAAACACGGACCAAGGAGUCUAACAUGCCUGCGAGUGUUUGGGUGGAAAACCCGAGCGCGCAAUGAAAGUGAAAGUUGAGAUCCCUGUCGUGGGGAGCAUCGACGCCCGGACCAGACCUUUUGCGACGGUUCCGCGGUAGAGCAUGUAUGUUGGGACCCGAAAGAUGGUGAACUAUGCCUGAAUAGGGUGAAGCCAGAGGAAACUCUGGUGGAGGCUCGUAGCGAUUCUGACGUGCAAAUCGAUCGUCAAAUUUGGGUAUAGGGGCGAAAGACUAAUCGAACCAUCUAGUAGCUGGUUCCUGCC
rnacentral:rRNA from 1 species